rnacentral:tRNA from 1 species
CUUCCCCGCCAGGACUUGAACCUGGAAUCUUCUGGUUCGUAGCCAGACGCCGUGACCAUUGGGCCACGAGGAA